rnacentral:rRNA from 1 species
AUGGACCUUUUCGGUCCCACUCAUUACUCAACUCUUACUACUACUGCUUGUCUCUAUGGCUUUGUCAUUGUUGAUGAUUAUUCAAGAUAUACUUGGGUGCAUAUCAUCACUUCUUGGGUCGUAAUUACUAUCUUGCUAGGUUCAGUUGUCAUAGCUGUUCGGAAUCCACAAACCACCCCGACCGACGGUCAGAAUUUUUUUGAAUAUGUCCUUGAGUUUAUUUGAGACUUGAGCAAAACUCAGAUUGGAGAAGAAUAUGGUCCCUGGGUUCCCUUUAUUGGAACUAUGUUCAUUUUUAUUUUUGUUUUGAAUUGGUCGGGUGCUCUUCUCUACAAGACUGAAGUGUGGGAUGUCUUCAGACGCUUUGCCAAUCGAGCCAUGAACAACUAUGGCGUCAAGAUCAAGCACAUCAGAAGUGACAAUGGCACUGAAUUCAAGAACACUGGUCUAGACACUUAUCUUGAUACUUUGGGCAUUACACAUGAAUUCUCAGCUCCGUACACACUGCAGUAG